AUUACCCAAUACGGACACAGUGAGGUAGUGACAAGAAAUAACAAUACGGGGCUUAAUGUCUUGUAAUUGGAAUGAUGGGAAUUUAAACCUCUUCCAGAGUAUCAAUUGGAGGGCAAGUCUGGUGCCAGCAGCCGCGGUAAUUCCAGCUCCAAUAGCGUAUAUUAAAAUUGUUGCAGUUAAAAAGCUCGUAGUUGAAUUUCUGCUGCAUUACAUGUCUCUUGUUUGAGUUUGUUUUUGUGGCUUAUUUCGGAUUGAUUUUUUCUUUCCGGAUGAUUACUUUGAGAAAAUUAGAGUGCUCAAAGCAGGCUUUUGCCUUGAAUAGUUUAGCAUGGAAUAAUAAAGUAGGACUUUGGUUCUAUUUUGUUGGUUUUAGGUACCAAAGUAAUGGUUAAUAGGAACAGUUGGGGGCAUUCGUAUUUAA
rnacentral:rRNA from 1 species